AGCUUCCUCGCAUCGGUCUAAGGCCGUCGCCGACCAAUUCGCCACUUGCUCCACCAAAGGCCUGGUCCUCCGCCACUCGGUACCUGCUCCUCCACCUCCAGUACAUGCACCGUCGCUGCCCAGUAUGUGUGCCUCCGUGAUCCACUCCUGCCGCCACCGCCAAGGACCUACGCCGCCAAGAUCCGGUCGAUCUCGUCAUCAUCAAACUCCCGCGCAUGCCUGGACGUCAAGCUAGUCCUCCUCCUUCUCCCGUGUCGCCAGGCUCGUUCUACUGCUCCCCUAGUGAUCAAGGUUCCGUCGGAGAUACCCUGCUACCCACUUCCUCUACUGCCGCCGGAGCUGUCGUGUGAUCUACUCUUCCACUCACAACACCUACUCUCCAUGACCAGGCGAUGCUCCUCCUCCACGCCCAACACCUCACUUCUCACCCAGCAGCAGAUCCUCUACUUCGCACCUAUAGAUCAAGUGGAGACUAGUCAAUCUGAGUAUGAGCAACAGGUAAAUUUAUCAAUACACAGGAGUAUCAUUUGUAGCAGUAGUAUCUGUAGGAGCAGUAUCUUCUGUAGUAGCAAUUGAUCAGUCUCAACAGUAAUCUAUAGUAAUAUCAAAGAUCAAACUUGCCACGCGCCUCUCCUCUUCGGGUACAACAUUUUUUUGAUGUUUUAAAACAUGAGCAAACUGAACAUCAUAACAUGUUUCAGUUAGAAUGACCAAUACUGUGAAAUUUCAGAAACUGAAUUAGAAACGUGUUUUCCAAGAUGUGCGUAUGCACAGUAUUGUAAAAGUACAAUAGAAUAUGAUUUGUACUUGAAAUUAGGAUGAACAGUAAACUAGUAAUGAAAGUAAACUAUAAUUUGUUAUAAAGAUUUUCCUACUAAAAAUAACGGGAUGGAUAGAAAAGGGUGAAAAGAUAACUGAAUGCUAGGCUAAAAUGGACAGUAAACUGAUAAUGACUAUUGCCAACAAGAGUAGGAAAAUGUGAGCUUCUAAAAUUUGUUACAUAAAUUUUCCUAGUGAAAAGAUAACUGAUUUUCGUGUACUGAAAAUUUAUAGUGCCGAGUUCAGGAAAGUUUACUCAAUUUUGUGGAGCACUCAAAGUGCUUUGAACUAAUAAAUCAUUAAAGUUCAAAGCCUAGAGAAUCAUCAAAGUUCAGCAAUAAGCAUCAAUCCAAAAUCAUCUAUAUGCAUUCAAAAAAUAAAAAUUCAACAAAUUUGGUGUCAAGCUUAUUUCUAUCAAAAUUUAAAUUGAAAAAUAUCAAGGUUUCCAUUGAAUGAACAGAGUUUGGGCACUGAAUUUGUAAGCCAUGGUAUAAUGAGCUUGGGCUUACAAAUUUUCAGUAGUUUUGACACUUGCUUGCAAAUUCAGUAGUUUUUUCCUAUUCCUAAUGUUUCCUGAUUUUUAAACUUGCUUGCAAUAAGCUUGCAGUACACUUUUAAAUUCAGAUCAGAAGCCAAGAUGUAAAACUGAAUUUUAACUAAACUUUUACUCCAAGAAUAGGAGUAUCAUGCAUGCUUAACUAGAUUUUUAACAUAAUCGCUCUCUUGGUUUAGGAGUACUUAAUUUCAAUCUCUCUCUUAGCCUAGGAGUACUGAAUUUUUGUAGUAGAUUUGCACUGAUUUUCCAAGCACAACCAGUAUCCAUUCAUUUACACUUCAUUCAAUCAUAAAGAAAGAAAAUGCUCACAUGAUAAAUUUUAUUCAAACAUGAUAAAUUUAGGACAAAAUCACACACACACCAGCUCUAGUAACAUGAUAAUCCAUGAAUGGAGACAAUUAGACAGACAUGCUUAUCAUAUUCACACAUGAUAAUCCAUUAAUGGAGACAACUAGACAAACACACACAACCACCACUAGCAGAUGGAAUUGUACAACACAAGCAGAGAUAGGGAUUGUACAACCUGAAGGUCGACGAUGAGGUCGUACAGAUCAGAGAGGUAGCAGCAGUUGCCGCCGGCUAGGUGUGCCAGCACGGCGUACGCAAAUACACUUGUGAGUUUUACAAAUUGAAAAUUAUGACCGCGGUGUAAUCCGAGACAGAGGACUGCACAAAAUGAUGAAUCAUUGGAAGGUCUGAUUAACUAAAUUCACAGCUAGUGAACAUGGAAACAAAGGAAUGUAACAACUCGCGUUUUGGAAAUUACAUGGAAGUACAAAGUCUUAGUUGAGAAGCAGAUUACCUUGAGAACUUCAUGUUAAUAGCCAGGAUCUUCAUGCUUUGCUUACAAGCUGAUAUCAAUUUCACAAGGAGAUAUCAACUUUUUAGUUUUGAAAGUCAAGCAUCUUGACCUAUGCUCUGUCGUCGUGGGAGGUGGUAGCUCUCCUACCAACGCAAGAUGGGCGAUGAAGGCGGGGAUGGUUGUUGCUGCUUUCGGGGGAGAGCUUCUGCCGGCUCUAAUGGAUAGUGGUGGUCAAGAAGGAUGAGGUUGGCGGUGAGGUGGACAGUGGUGUCUGUUGAGCGGCAAGACGGGGGACGGAUUCAUUGUCGGUGGAGGUGAGCCGACGAGGAGGUAGUCCACGAAGGACAGGUCUAGCUUCGGCUUGCCACCCUCGGACGUCGUGCUGGUCGCUGUUGGAUGGGCAGGGCCAGAUCAAAAAAAGCAAGUGUUCGCCUGGCCGUGGUUCACCAUGGGGAACGAGGAGACGAACAAAGAGGGGAAGCAGCAUAGGCGUGGGCCGGGGCAGGUCCGGCGAGGGAGAAGAGCAGGGGAGACGAGCUUUGGAGCUCAAAUGCAGAGGAGACGAGUGGGGGAGCUUCGAUUGAGAGGAGACGAGCACGAGACGCGAGUAGUGCGGGUUGUGUCAGGAAUUUCCCGAGGGUUUUCGUGCAAAAUUGCCAGCACGACAAGAAUUACGGGAUGGAGGGAGUAGGAGGCAUGAUAUCAUUAUAAUAAUUUUGCUCAUCAAAAUUUGAGGAACUAAAAAUAUCAUCUUUAUCAAACAUAGCAUCCCCAAACUUGUGGCUUUGCAUAUCGUUAGCAUCAUGGAUAUUCAUGAAAUUCAUACUAAUAAUAUUUCUAUAAUGCUCAUCAUUCAAGGAUUUCACAUUAACAUUUUUAUAAAUUCUUCCUCUAACAACUGAGUACAAUUUUCUGAACCAUCAUUUUCACGAAACUCAUUAUAAAGGCGAAGCAAAUGAGGCAACCUAAAUUCCAAAUUUAGUAGUUUUCUUUAUAUAACCAAAAAAGUGAAAAACAAGAAAAUAAAAGAUUUAAUUGCAAGAUCUAAAAAUAUACCUUCAAGCACUCACCUCCCCGUCAACGGUGUCAGAAAAGAGCUUGAUAUCUACUAUGCAACUUUAUUCUUGCAGAUGUUGUUGGGCCUCCAAGUACAAAGUUUGGUAGGACCUAAGGUUUAUCAACCCGUGGGAGGUUUAGGAUGAAGAUGUUCUCUCUCGAACAACCCUGCAAUCAAAUACAGGAAAGUUGUUGUGUCCCCAACACAUCAAAUACAAUGGAAAAUUGUAUAGGUGCACUAGUUCCGUGAAGAGAUAGUGAUACAAGUGUAGUAUGGAUAGUAGAUAUAGGUUUUUGUAAUCUGAAUAAAUAAAAACAACAAGGUAAUAAUUAAUAAACAACAAGAAAAACGGUAUAUAAAUGCUUGAUAAUAAAGCCUGGGUUCAUACUUUCACUAGUCCAAUCUCUUAAUACUGCUAACAUAGUAGAAUCAUAUGAUCAUCCCUCAGUGUGCAACAAAGAAUCACUCCAAAGUUCAUAAGUAGCGGAGAAAAUAAGAUGAAAUUGUUGUAGGCAGCUAGCCACCUCAAAGUUAUUCUUUCCGAUCAAUCUUUUGAGCUAUUCCUAUAAGUGUCACAAACAGCCUUAGAGUUCGUACUAGAAUAACAACCAUGAUACAUAGCAAUCAACCCUAAUGUCACCUAGAUACUCCAAUGUCACCUCACGUAUCCAUGUGCUAAUUAUACAACAUGCAUCAAACAAUUUUAAAUUCUUCAUAU
rnacentral:lncRNA from 1 species